rnacentral:rRNA from 1 species
CCUCAGGAUAGCUGGAACUUAUGAAGAAGUAGUUUUAUCAGGUAAAGCGAAUGAUUAGAGGCUUUGGGGAAGAAACUUCCUCGACCUAUUCUCAAACUUUAAAUAGGUAAGAUUUGGAGGAUACUUAAGUGAUCUUUCAAUAUUUUGAAUAUAAAGUUCUUAGUGGGCCAUUUUUGGUAAGCAGAACUGGCGAUGUGGGAUGAACCGAACGUUAAGUUAAAGUGCCAAAUAAUACGCUCAUGAGAUACCAUAAAAGGUGUUGGUUCAUUUUGACAGCAGGACGGUGGCCAUGGAAGUCGGAACCCGCUAAGGAGUGUGUAACAACUCACCUGCCGAAUGAACUAGCCCUGAAAAUGGAUGGCGCUUAAGCGUAUAACUUAUACUUAACCCUUAUCUGAAUCAUCAUAGCGGAUAAGGAGUAGGAGGGCG